GAGAUGAUAGCCAGGUAACGGGAGGCAUGAGAAAUACUAUUACACACUGAAAAGUAAUUCAGUCGUGGAAGAUUCUGAUACAUUGAAUAUAUAACUCUGUACUGUCAAGUCAUGCUUGUUUCAAUAAGUAAUCUAUAAAAGAUAUAUACUGUGACACAAAUUUGUUUACCUAUGGGGAUAAGGCAGUCAGUGCGCAUGUAAAAGGGUGAUGUAUGAUUCGUCAAUGUAAAUGUAUUUGGCUUUGUUCAUCUUAUGAGGUGGAAAUGUUUUGAUUCUGAAUCUGGAAAAUCUGAAGUCACAUGGCAUUACAUUAUAAUUGUCUAGUGAUAAGGGAGCCUGAGUCUGCUGGCAAGGACUGGAGUCAGUAAGACUUGGUCGCACUAAAUGUUUCAGGAACCAGUGGGCCAUAGGGGAAUUUUCCCGACUACGAAAUGUAGCUAGCUCGACGGAUCUUUAAGUCCGAUCACAAUAGCCGGUUUUGCCCCUAUCUUUCCUCGCGCAGCAGGAGUAGCUCCAAACAGUUUAGAAUGCAAAUGCAUUAACACCUCAACAUGAAAUGUAUAGUUACCCAACUUUAAUGCAUGACACAAGUGUAGAAGUGAACGGCAAUGAGCAUAGUUCACAUGAUGACAUCAUGAGUGUAUGGUUAAAUAGGUCAGGAUGAAUACCUACAGCAACCGGGGGAGAAAGUAGGAGAUCUCAAGAGAUCUGUAUAGAAGCUGAAUCUAGUUUUAAAAAAACAAACAAUAAUAAUAAAUUAAUUAAUUAAUCACAAAAAAAAAAAAAAAAAAAAAAAGGUAUUGGGUGGAGGUUUGAAUUUUAUAUAAUGUAAUUUGAACACGCGGGACUGCCAAUAUCUUUGGCCAAGCAGGCCGGGAUACGCGUCCGCGUUUUAGGAGUGAUGAGGGGGACAGGAACCCCAAGAAGAGGGGGAUAUCAGCGGGAGUUACUAUCCUGCUGGUGGAUCACGUUCAGAGCCCCAUGAAUUGGGGGGCUACCGGGGAGGAGCUACUAUCCUUUCUGGUGAUCACGUGACCAGAGAUCCUCAGGAUUAUUCUGACAAAUUAAUUCUCACAGUUGAUAUUGCAGAUAGGAUUAUAUUACAUGUAUUUUGGUUUUGAGUUUCGCAGAAUUAUGUUCCUGAGUUUUCAUGUUCGUACAUAGCAAUUUGCAUCAUGUAUGUGUAUUGGUAUUACAGGCAGACAUUGCCUAUUUUAAAUGUUAACGCCUUGAAGCGGAAAUAAAUGUCGAGCAAUUGCAA